CAUGCGCGCACCCGCUCAGCUCGCUCGGACCUGACGAGCGAAGCGGUCAGACCGGAGGUAAUAUCUGCGUGGCUUUUCAACGAUAGUAACUGAAAACUGACGAACACCAAGGGGCUGAAAAGUUACACCGUGGUGGCUUUAAUUCUGCUGGACAGGUCACCUGCAGUCUUCCAACACCCUGUGCUUCUCACCAGUACACUGAUCAGACUGCUGGCUGGCCUGGAUUACAACCACCGUGUCCACAGACCAGACAGGAGAAAAGAUGAUGACACAAUUCAGACUUCUGUGUCCACAUUACACACCAGGUCAAUGUUCAUGACACAGAUGAGCCGAUGGCUGAAGCAAAGUUGUAGUUAAUUUUUGUAAUCGGUAAACGAUAAUAAAAAAAGUAUAUAUUAUAAUAUUGAUGGCUUACAUAGCACUUUAUUUUUGACACCCAAAGG